rnacentral:rRNA from 1 species
UACGUAGGGUGCAAGCGUUGUCCGGAAUUAUUGGGCGUAAAGAGCUUGUAGGCGGUCUGUUGCGUCAGGAGUGAAAACUCGGGGCUUAACCCCGAGCCUGCUUCUGAUACGGGCAGACUAGAGGUAUGCAGGGGAGAACGGAAUUCCUGGUGUAGCGGUGAAAUGCGCAGAUAUCAGGAGGAACACCGGUGGCGAAGGCGGUUCUCUGGGCAUUACCUGACGCUGAGGAGCGAAAGUGUGGGGAGCGAACAGG